rnacentral:rRNA from 1 species
AUUGAACGCUGGCGGCAUGCCUUACACAUGCAAGUCGAACGGCAGCACGGGGCAACCUGGUGGCGAGUGGCGAACGGGUGAGUAAUGCAUCGGAACGUACCUUUCAGUGGGGGAUAACGUAGCGAAAGUUACGCUAAUACCGCAUAUUCUGUGAGCAGGAAAGCAGGGGAUCGCAAGACCUUGCGCUGAUUGAGCGGCCGAUGUCAGAUUAGCUAGUUGGUGAGGUAAAGGCUCACCAAGGCGACGAUCUGUAGCGGGUCUGAGAGGAUGAUCCGCCACACUGGAACUGAGACACGGUCCAGACUCCUACGGGAGGCAGAAGUGGGGAAUUUUGGACAAUGGGGGCAACCCUGAUCCAGCCAUGCCGCGUGAGUGAAGAAGGCCUUCGGGUUGUAAAGCUCUUUCGGCCGGGAAGAAAUCGCACGGGCUAAUACCCUGUGUGGAUGACGGUACCGGAAUAAGAAGCACCGGCUAACUACGUGCCAGCCGCCGCAGUAACAC